rnacentral:rRNA from 1 species
UACGAAGGGUGCAAACGUUGCUCGGAAUCAUUGGGCGUAAAGCGCACGUAGGCGGCUUCGCAAGUCGGAUGUGAAAUCCCUCGGCUCAACCGAGGACGUGCAUACGAAACUGCGGAGCUUGAGUGCUGAAGAGGAUCGCGGAAUUCCCGGUGUAGAGGUGAAAUUCGUAGAUAUCGGGAGGAACACCAGUGGCGAAGGCGGCGAUCUGGGCAGACACUGACGCUGAGGUGCGAAAGCCAGGGGAGCAAACGGG